rnacentral:lncRNA from 1 species
CCCAGGCUGGAGUGCAGUGACCGGAUCUCCGCUCACUGCAAGCUCCGCCUCCCGGGUUCACGCCAUUCUCCUGCCUCAGCCUCCUGAGUAGCUGGGACUACAGGCGCCCGCCACCACGCCCGGCUAAUUUUUUUGUAUUUUUAGUAGAGACGGGGUUUCACCGUGUUAGCCAGGAUGGUCUCGAUUUCCUGGCCUCCUGAUCUGCCUGCCUUGGCCUCCCAAAGUGCUGGGAUUACAGGCGUGAGCCACCACGCCCGGCCUGCCUGAUUCUUUAGGAAAUAGGUCUUCAGGACCCCCACACUUAAUCCUGGGAUGUGAAAGUGAUAAGGCUCAGUCAACUUAGGUGCAAUGCCUUAUCCAGGUAUGAAUGCAGUCUUUCCCUGAGCUGAAUAAAACUCAAGAAUCAAAGACUCUGUUCUUGCUUUCUCAAUCUGCUGUUGUCUCCACUCAGCUCACUUCCUAUGGAAAGGACUCAGGUAUGGGGCAGAGUCACUUCCUGCACCACACCAUCAGCAAAGCUAGCUCCUCUUGGCUGGCGCAGGCCCUCUGGCUUCCCAGCUAUGAGGUCACGCCAGCUGAGAAUUCAAUGAUCUGUCUUAACCACAGUGACUCAUGCAGCCUCUGGUUACCCUGCGGCUGGGACCCAGUUCCUCUACAGGAAGACAUAUUUUAAAUGAUUACAUGAAUGACGGAGAGUGCGCAGAGGGCUUUCAAAGAUUUGGAACAACCAGCCGGAAGCGCCAAAACUUACCCGGGAUACAACUAGAGUCCAGGAAGGAUCGCAGCCCUACUGAGAACUUGAAAGACCCCAAGUUCCAUCCUCAAAGCAUCCUCGCUGCUGCAUCAUUACAAAAUCCCCGUGAUCCACCUUUUCAAAGGUACAUGUUAACUUAUCUACAUGGUGUGUGCUUACUGAGUGCCUAUGGGGCUGUCCAGCUCCAGCUCCCUGUGUCGAAGGGAGGACCAAGGGAAGGGAAGGCUCUCAUCUCACCCUGGAGGGGCUUGUGGCUUGCUGGGCAGAGGAGACACAGUGCACCUUGCAGCCCUGGACAGGGCACCAGGCAAUGUGUGGAACAAGAUUUCCAUGCCUGCAAAGUGCAGGAAAGACAACUCAGGACAGAAACAUGGACAGCCAAGAAGCUGGGAAAAAAUGUUCCUUUGCACUAGCAAACAAAGCAAUGCCUAUAGCAUUGUCAGUAACUUAACAUUCUGUCUACACACAUCUAAAGAUUAAAACAACAAUAACAACAACAUUCUCCUCAUGGCUGGGGUAAGUGUAAGGAGGUACGAGCAGUAAUGAAAUUUGCUACAGUGGAGUGAUAUAUUUGACAAAUUUAAUUUACAUAAUUUUAACUCUGCAUUUGUCCACCACACCCCUCCCCCAAAAAGGGGAAAGAAAGAAGGAGAGAGGGAGGUAGGGAAGGAGGAAUGGAGGUACCAAGGAAGGAAGGGAAGGGAAAGAAAGAAGAAGAGAGGAAGGACGGGAGGGAAGGACGAAAGGGAAAGAAAGAAAAGGAGAGAGGGAGGAAGGGAGGAAAGAGAAAAGGAAGGAAGAGAGGGAGCAAGAGAAGAAGAGAGGAAAGAAGGAAGGAAGGAAGGGAUUGAAGAAGGAAGGAAGAAAGGGAGAUGAUAUGGUUUUUCUCUGUGUCCCCACCCAAAUCUCAUCUCAAAUUGUAAUCUCCACAUGUGGAGGGAAGGAGGUGAUUGGAUCAUGGGGGCAGUUUCCCCCAUGCUUUUCUUGUGAUAGUGAAUUCUCAGGAGAUCUGACGGUUUUGUGAGCAUAUGGCAUUUCCCCUGCUUGCACUUCGCUCUCUUGCAGCCAUGUGAAGGUGUUUGCUUCCCCUUCACCUUCCGCCAUGAUUGUAAGUUUCCUGAGGUCUCUCCAGCCAUGCGGAACUGUGAGUCCACUAAGCCUCUUUCCUUUAUAAAUUACCCGGUCUUGGGAAGCUCUUUGUAGCAGUGUGAAAACGGGCUAAUACAGGAGGGAAGAAGGAAGGAAGGAGAGAAGAGAGGGGAGAAGAAAGAAAGGAAGGGAGAGAGGGAAGAAGAAAGGGAAGAGAAAAGGAAAGAAGGAAGGAAGGGCAGAAGGAAGGAAGAUGUACCUAAAGCCUGCCUUACCACCCAUCGUUUCCCUCCGUGUGUGUGCUCAGGAGUGAGCACCUGAGGGGAGAUCCUGCUGCUUUCUCCCCAGAGCUGUUUCUUCACUGGGUCUGUGUGGUGUGACCGUCCCAAGGGCUGGAUCUGAGACUCAUGUUUAAGGACCCAGUCUCAUACCAGAUGUCCCCUAAAGCCUAACAGCUCCUAGCAUAAGAACUGCAAAGAUGGCUCUCCUUGCUACCCACCCCCACCUUGUGCCCUACAGUCUGUUUUCUAAGGAGCAGCCAGAGAGAUCCUUUAAAACAAGAGUCACUCAUGUCAUGCCUCUGCUAAACAUGCUCCACAAUUUCCAUUCCUUUCUGGGAAAAAGUCCAUAUCCACCCAAUGCCCUGCCUAGCUCACCUCUCUGGUCUCCUCCUAUCCUUCACUCUUCCUGCCACACACUGGUCUUUGGACACACCGACCUCCUUGUUGUUCCUUCAGCAUGCCAAUUGUGCCUCCUUCUCAGGGCAUUCAUACAUGGUGUUUCCUCUUCUGGGAAUGCCCUUCCACCAGCUAGUUGCAUAACUCAAUUCUCACUUUCUUCAAGUCACCUCUUCUCAAUGGAGCUUCCUUUGACCAUCUAAACCUCUAUGGCACCCUCCUCCAAACAUACUUCUCUUUUAGCCCUGCCUAGUCUUUUUUUUUCUAUAUUACUUAUCAUCUUCUAAUACUUUAGAAAUUUUGUGAUUGUUAGGCUUAAUUUUCAUUAUCUCUCUCCACCAGAAUAGCUUUUUACAGUGAAUAUAUUGGUCUAGUUCGGUGUCUGUCCCAUCUCCAUCUCCUGGCACUAUGCCUGACACAGACUAGUUACUCAAUAAACAGUGUUUGAGUUGUUGCAUGAACAAAUGAAUUACUGAAUGUCAAUCUCCAACACUAUUUUCUUAAAAGAUGUGCCAGGGCAAUUUUGAUGACCAGCAUUUUGUAUUAUAUGUACUGACUUUAAAAAUAUCCCUCCCACUUCAGGUGAGAGUCUAUUGUAGAAGGUUUCAGAAGGUAAUUUGGCAACAUAUAUUAAGGGCUUAAAAAAGAGUUUAUCCUUGGAAAAUUUCAUGUGUGUUCAUGAAUGUUGAGCAAAACCACAGGCAGGUCAGUGUUGUAUCAAAUAUAAAAAAUUGGAAGUGAUCUAACUACCCAAUAAUAAUUGGGUAAUAAAAAAUUAUGGUCUGCACAAACAGUGGAGUAUUAUUUGGCAUUUAAAAUGCAGAGGAGUAGAAUUCUUUUUAAAUAGAAAAUGGUUAUAUGAAUUGAAAAAAUUACAAAACAGUAAAUAGCUUGGAAUAUCACAUUUAAAAAAGAAAUAUACAUAUAUUGAUAUACACAUAUAUGUAUUAUAUAUGUAAAUAUACAUAUACAUACAGCGAUAUCUAGACAUCUACAUGUAUUUCCUGGGAAACUACAAUUUUAUAUGCUUUGGUGUUGUCAUUAGUGAUUUCUAAAUUGUUAUUUUUUGUGAAUUAUUUUAGUAAAUUGUUCUACAUUAGCUUAUCUUUUUCUCUAAUUUUUCUCAAAGAUCAUGACUUUUUUUUAUUUUUAGACAGAGUCUCGCUCUGUUGCCCAGGCCAGAGUGCAAUGGCACGAUCUCAGCUCACUGCAACCUCCACCUCCAGAAUUCAAGCGAUUCUCCUGCCUCAGUCUCCCGAGUAGCUGGGAUUACAGGCACCGCCAGCACGCUCAGCUAAUUUUUAUAUUUUUAGUAGAGAUGGGGUUUUGCCACGUUGGUUAGGCUGGUCUCAAACUCCCAUCCUCAGGUGAUCCACCCACCUGGGCUUCCCAAAGUGCUGGGAUUACAGGCAUGAGCCACUGCGCCCAGCCAUGACUUUUUAUGGGUUUUUAAUUUGGCAAAUAAUGGCAAUAAAUGAUAUUUCCAUUAAAAACUGGAUCUCAGUGCUUUCUAACAUUUAAUAUUGUAAUCUGACUUGAAAUAAGACAUUUCCAACUUUUAUUUCUUAAAUCAUCAUCUCUGGUCUUCUGAGGAAGGAAGAGGGAAGCCGCUCUUCCACCCAGCAGUUGAAUGAAUACAGUGGCGGCCACUCGUGAAGCCCACAUUAGUUCCUGCUCAGUUUAAUCACACACUCCUGCACUCUAGUCAAAGGGGAUUAGACAUAAGCUGUGAUGCCAUGGCCACGUAGACUGCUUCUUUGGAGUGUGGCUUAUUUAUUCCUUUAGU